rnacentral:lncRNA from 1 species
GACCCUUUCUUUCAUGUAUAUAUCUUCGUUUAAAUUCCCCUGAUGACCUCCACGUAGUGGUAGAUGAUUCAACAACACGGGUGCAUGCUAUUUUAGAAAAGAUUUGAAAUUGUCGGAUUAGGUGUAUGUGAAAAUGGGAACUUGAAGACGUUGGCUUCUAAUUGGUUUAGGAGUGUGUGAAGAUGCAACUUCGAUGCUUCAAGGUCUUAAUCAAUGGGGUUUCUUUGUCGAGAGAGAGAGAGAGAGACAGAGGGGACAGACAGGAAACUUGUUGACAUUCAAUUAAGUCCAAUGAAUGAAAAAAAACAUGGUUGG